GUCCUUUUGAAUUUAAUUGAAGGUCUGACCUGCCCAGUGAGGAGUUCAACGGCCGCGGUAUACUGACCGUGCAAAGGUAGCAUAAUCAUUAGUCUUUUAAUAGGGGGCUGGAAUGAAAGGUUUAACGAGGAACUGACUGUCUCAUUUUAUUUGUUUUAAAAUUUAAUUUUUUAGUUAAAAAGCUAAAAUUCUAUUGGAAGACGAGAAGACCCUAUAGAUCUUUACAUGAAAUUAUCUAAAUAUUUAUAUAUUAAUAUUUUUAGAUUAUUUUUUGUUUUGUUGGGGUGACAAAAAUAUAUAUUUAACUUUUUUAUAUACAUAACAUUGAUUUAUGAAUAUUAGAUCCAUUAUUAUUGAUUAUUAGACUAAGUUACCUUAGGGAUAACAGCGUAAUCCUCCUCCAGAGUUCGUAUUAACAGGAUGGGCUUGCGACCUCGAUGUUGGAUUAAGAUAAUAAUUAGGUGUAGCAGCUUAAUUUAUAGGUCUGUUCGACCUUUAAAUUCUU
rnacentral:rRNA from 1 species